CAGUAGCCGCGGUAAUACGAAGGGUGCAAGCGUUGCUCGGAAUUAUUGGGCGUAAAGGGAAGGUAGGCGGUUACGUAUGUCUGAGGUGAAAGCCCCAAGCUUAACUUGGGAAGUGCCUUGGAAACGGCGUAACUAGAGUAUUGGAGAGGUUUGUAGAAUUCCCGGUGUAGCGGUGAAAUGCGUAGAGAUCGGGAGGAAUACCAGAGGCGAAGGCGACAAACUGGACAAUUACUGACACUAAACUUCGAAAGCGUGGGGAGCAAACAGGAUUAGAUACCCCGGUAGUCCCUGUCUCUUAUAA
rnacentral:rRNA from 1 species